UCCCUUAAGCCCGACUCCAUCAUGUUUGCUUGUAGCGUUAGCCGCUAGCGUUAGCCUUCUGGGCUUCUGUUUGUUCAAGUUUCUGGUAACCACGUGACUUCAUACGUAAGCACACUGACUGCUUUCUUAAAGGGGAAUGAACAUAGCCGAAACAACACAAAGUCAAAGCGGGAUGAAGACUAUAUUUCCUUGUUUUAUUAAAUGAGCGAAUUUAUCAACAUGGUCAAAAUUACGUCGGUCAUCGUGAAGAAUUUCGGAAACGGUAAAUUUUCGGUAUACCGCCCGGCUCUAACUCAUCAUAACCUUUGUUUUCCACUGUUUGUUCCAGGAGAUGAUGAUGAUAAGGUGGAUGCAGCCGUCCUUAUGAAGAGGAGCCGCCCUGCCUUCAGUGAGACUGGUUCGGUCAAGCACCAAAAAUAAGUCAACAUCUUUAGCUUUCUCCAGGACUACCUUCAGGAAAUUGAGGAUUCUGGGGGGACCACUUCCUAGGGCCUCCACAACCCAGCUCUCAAACCUCCGACUCGUCAGCCCUGAGGUGCGGAACCGCUACGUUCCAGUCCCGGUGGCUUUGGCCCGGCCUGACGCUGCCCGCCAGCCAAACCACCACAACCUUCAGGACAAGUAUAUGUCUAUCCAAAUUUAUAUGUAUACCUCUAAAUAUACAUAUAAAUGCAUACACAUAUUGCGCGUAACAGACCCCUCAUCUAACUUAAAAAGUGGGUCGUCGCAUCUACUCUAUACUCAAAUAUACAUGCCCAUAUCUAUCCCAUACACAUAUCUUUGUAUGUAUAUGCAUACAUGCGCAUGUAUAUAUUACGUAUGUCCCACCACAUCAAAUCGGGAAACAACAACCUGUUGUCUAGGAGCCAACCAGCCUGAGCGGGAGGGAAACGCUGUGUCCCAACCUGUGGUUGGGAAGCGCGAGUGGGGAGGGUGAAGUUGAUAAAGGGG